rnacentral:tRNA from 1 species
GGACAGGUGGCCGAGUGGUUUAAGGCACCGGUCUUGAAAACCGGCGUGGGUGCAAGCUCACCGUGGGUUCGAAUCCCACCCUGUCCG